rnacentral:rRNA from 1 species
AAUCAACGCUGGCGGCGUGCCUAACACAUGCAAGUCGAGCGCGAAAGGGGAGCAAUCCCCGAGUAGAGCGGCGAACGGGUGAGUAACGCGUGGGUAAUCUACCUCCGAGUGGGGAAUAACAGCGGGAAACUGCUGCUAAUACCGCACGACAUCGUCGGGCCUCAGGCCUGACGAUCAAAGCCGGGGACCGCAAGGCCUGGCGCUUGGAGAGGAGCCCGCGUCCGAUUAGCAGUUGGCGGGGUAACGGCCCACCAAGGCUUCGAUCGGUAGCCGGCCUGAGAGGGCGGACGGCCACACUGGGACUGAGACACGGCCCAGACUCCUACGGGAGGCAGCAGUGGGGAAUUUUUCGCAAUGGGGGAAACCCUGACGAAGCAACGCCGCGUGGAGGAUGAAGGCC